GAGUAAGUGAUGUUUAUAUCUUUAUAUAUUGUAAUUCCUUUUAUAUAUCUAAUAAGUGAAUAUUUUAUUAAUCUCUUAUUUUUUUUUUAGAUAUGGAUUGUCUUAAUGAGGAGAUUAUCGUCGGUAAAUAAAGUUUACGAGUUGAAGCGGAAUGGAUCAAUGAAUACAUGUAGUGAGGCUUUCUAAUACUUAUUUUCUAGAGAGUUGUUGUUCUUGUUAAAUUUUGUUUAUUUUGUGAAGGGCAGGAAAAAUGAUUCAGCAAUAUGGAGAAUUUGCCCAUCUUUCAUGCGAGAAAAAAAGAUUGGGAAAUGGAGGAUGCUAAUUUGUGAUGUUGCAUUGUUGCUACGAUGCACCCUUUUGAUAUCUGGAUGAUUCUGUCACUGAUUUGCUGCUUGUUUGGAGGCUAGUAUAUGUUGUGAAGAGCUGCAGUUUAUAUAUAUUCAGAAGUUGAACAUUCUAUGUUCUUUCAUUCGGAUAUGAUAAUAUCUUACUGCAUAAAGACCACUAGUAAAAGUUCAAGUGCUCUUGGCUAAUAUGUUCUCAUAUUGUUUGCUUGGCAGGAAAAGAGCAACUCCAAUGGGUACCAUGCAUUUGCUCCUCGGCGAACAACAAUUAUGUCUAAUGACUGAAACUUAUCUCUUUUAGUACGAAUGUCUUCAUUUCAAAUGUUUAAAUUCAUAGAAGUAGGAUUUAGAGGAAUUUGUGAUGUCCUCUUGCACGGCAGCAGCAUCCAUUUCAUUUUGUGAUGUCCUCUAACAAGUCUAGUGACUGAAACUUGGUGACAAGUCUAGUGACUUUUGUUAUGUUUCCUCUCUUUUAUCUAAUGAAAUUCCUUGCCAAA